GGAUGGAAAUGGCCCCUGUGGCCUGCAACACAUGUAUGGUUAAGGCAUUGCCACCUACUUCGUGGUAUCUCUAACCAAGUUGUUUU